GUCUCUGAUGUGGCCUUCGUCUCUGCUGUGGCCUUCGUCUCUGCUGUGGCCUUCGUCUCUGCUGUGGCCUUCGUGUCUGCUGUGGCCUUCGUCUCUGCUGUGGCCUUCGUCUCUGCUGUGGCCUUCGUCUCUACUACGACUUCUCAUGAUUUCGUUACUCGCGUUUUCAAGUUAGCAGCCGCGGCCUCCCUCAUGUGCCCUCGGUGAGCCUAAGAUGGCGGAGUGUGAGGGGAGCGUCCUACUCCAGUGCGACCGAGGGAAGCUAUUGAGACGUCCGUGCUGAGGGAAAUUACGCAGAAGCACAUGAGGGAGACCCAGCCAUUGUUAACGAGGGCUGAGUGAGGGGCGGCGUUCUGAAGAGGGAAUUACUCGCCGAACACAAACCGUGGUGAAGGCGUUGAAGUUGAGGCUAGGAUUUACUGAAGCCUUGCUUGUCGCGCGAAAUUCUGAGCGGUAACUCAGUUAUACGCACGGCGCCCGCCUCAAACUGAUGAGGGGUGUGCUGGUGUGCACAGGGAUGAAGGUGAGGGGCAAG